rnacentral:rRNA from 1 species
AAAACUUUCAACAACGGAUCUCUUGGUUCUGGCAUCGAUGAAGAACGCAGCAAAAUGCGAUAAGUAAUGUGAAUUGCAGAAUUCAGUGAAUCAUCGAAUCUUUGAACGCACAUUGCGCCCGCCAGUAUUCUGGCGGGCAUGCCUGUUCGAGCGUCAUUUCAACCCUCAAGCACAGCUUGGUGUUGGGACUCGCGUUAAUUCGCGUUCCUCAAAUUGAUUGGCGGUCACGUCGAGCUUCCAUAGCGUAGUAGUAAAACCCUCGUUACUGGUAAUCGUCGCGGCCACGCCGUUAAACCCCAACUUCUGAAUGUUGACCUCGGAUCAGGUAGGAAUACCCGCUGAACUUAAGCAUAUCAAUAAGCGGAGGAAAAGAAACCAACAGGGAUUGCCCUAGUAACGGCGAGUGAAGCGGCAACAGCUCAAAUUUGAAAUCUGGCUCUCGGGCCCGAGUUGUAAUUUGUAGAGGAUACUUUUGAUGCGGUGCCUUCCGAGUUCCCUGGAACGGGACGCCAUAGAGGGUGAGAGCCCCGUCUGGUUGGAUGCCAAAUCUCUGUAAAGUUCCUUCAACGAGUCGAGUAGUUUGGGAAUGCUGCUCUAAAUGGGAGGUAUAUGUCUUCUAAAGCUAAAUACCGGCCAGAGACCGAUAGCGCACAAGUAGAGUGAUCGAAAGAUGAAAAGCACUUUGAAAAGAGAGUUAAAAAGUACGUGAAAUUGUUGAAAGGGAAGCGUUUAUGACCAGACUUGGGCUUGGUUAAUCAUCUGGGGUUCUCCCCAGUGCACUUUUCCAGUCCAGGCCAGCAUCAGUUUUCCCCGGGGGAUAAAGGCGGCGGGAAUGUGGCUCUCUUCGGGGAGUGUUAUAGCCCACCGUGUAAUACCCUGGGGGGGACUGAGGUUCGCGCAUCUGCAAGGAUGCUGGCGUAAUGGUCAUCAACGACCCGUCUUGAAACACGGACC